rnacentral:rRNA from 1 species
CCUACGGGAGGCAGCAGUGGGGAAUAUUGCACAAUGGGGGAAACCCUGAUGCAGCGAUGCCGCGUGGAGGAAGAAGGUUUUCGGAUUGUAAACUCCUUUUAUCAGGGACGAUAAUGACGGUACCUGAAGAAAAAGCUCCGGCUAACUACGUGCCAGCAGCCGCGGUAAUACGUAGGGAGCGAGCGUUGUCCGGAAUUACUGGGUGUAAAGGGAGCGUCGGCGGGGCGGCAAGUCAGAUGUGAAAACUGAGUGCUCAACCUUCAGACUGCAUUUGAAACUGCUGUUCUUGAGUGAAGUAGAGGUAAGCGGAAUUCCUAGUGUAGCGGUGAAAUGCGUAGAUAUUAGGAGGAACUCCGAUUGCGAAGGCAGCUUACUAAGCCAUAACUGACACUGAAGCACGAAAGCGUGGGGAUCAAACAGGAUUAGAUACCCCGGUAGUC